rnacentral:lncRNA from 1 species
GGAAAACAGUGCCGUACAGCACCAUACACACUGCCUGCGGCGCCCCUUCAGGCAUUGACCUGCCCAUUCGGGCGCCUGCUCACACGCCCUUGGCGCCCCCCUCAAAGCCUAGCACGACACACCUCCCCAAAGCCCUCAGCACUUUCCGGUGCUGUCUGUGAUGUUUAUCCCCCAAGCGCCAGCGGCUUCAGCGCAAAGCCA